GAGACCAGAGAUGCCCCAGGUUGAAGCCGGCAGAGAAAGGGAGACACCAACACAAAACAACCCUGUCUGGAUGUACUACAGCCAGCAGGGCCGAGGACACUACUCAAAAGUCUUGGGAAAGACCCUCAUAAAACAAAACUGAAAUGUCUGAAGUUGAUAUUGUUAGCAAACAGCCAAAGAGCAACUGAGGGAGAGUGGCUCAUGGCCACAAGACAGAAAAGCUGUUCCAAACCAAGAUGGAAAGGAAACUGGUCUUAGGUGAAGCUCGGAAUUCAAGGGUGUGAUCUGGAUCAGAGCCGGUCAUUUAAGGGACAGCAAGGGAGGAUGAAAGCCUGUCAUUGUUUUCGAAUUGUGUACUUACUCCCCCCGACCCACCCCCAAAAAAAAAUGCAGGCGAAAAGAAAAAAUAUUUGGGAGUUUUUAAGCUCAGUGGACCCCUUGACCUAAACUUGUGCUUACAAGUUCAGCAUAUUUCUAAGCUGUCUAUCAAAAACCAUUUAGAAGAAUUCGGCCUUCUGAAGGCUUCCAGGCCUGAAGCUGUGGGCAAGAUUCUUUCAUGAAGAGAUUGGCUUCCUCCCAAGACUGGAAAAAUGGAGGUCGACGGCUCUUUCUUCUAACAGGGUGAAGACGGAAAAAGACAACGCAUGCCUCAGCGAGCUGGAGGUUCCUGUGAACCCCGAGAGGGGCAGGAUAAAAGCAGGGUGACCUGAAACUAUCAUGAAAAAUUCUGCAGCAGAAUUCCUUUGCCCACUCUCCCUUGGUUUCCGUUGCCUGGAGCACAGAAUAGCCAGAUACUUGGCUUUGGCAGAGACACACAAACUCUUGGGCAACACAGUCUUCAACAGAGCAGAAUUGAUUGUACUUCUAUCAGCCUCAAUCAGUCGAGGCCGAAGUGACACAUAGCUGGGUGAGGUUCCAAAGGGACAGAGGAAACAGUUGCAGGGGCAAGGUGGCUCUGAAUUAAUGAUGGCUGACUUGUUUGUGCGGAAGGGCGGUCUCUGGCAGAAGACCAGGCAACUCUCAUGUGGUGUCAACAGGCAAAAAACCCAUUUCAGAGAUGAGAAAGUCGAUUAACGUACGGCGGAAAGAGGGGAGCGGGCUUCCCUCUCAGAGUAACAGUCAAGUCCAUGGAGGGAAGGAGCUGAGUGUGUUCAAAGCCUUGUUCACCUGAUCAGACACACCCGCCCACGGUACUUGAGAACCUAGAAAACCCAUUUUCAUACAGCAGUGGAAACAGACCACCAACGGUGAAGUAAAAUCUGUACUGAUCAAUGGUGGUAAACGCUCACUAUAAAAACAAAUUUGGGAACUGUAAGCAAAAUGUUGGAACAGAAGUAGGAAAACUUGAUGCUUGUGGAGUUAAGUCUAGAGAAGACACCCAAAGAUGUGACACCCCAGAAAAGGCCUGAGGAAAGAGAGCAAGGUGUCCGGGAAGGCUGCCUACGACCCUAUUGCUCAGUGCAUGCAAAACAUCCAGGGGACGGGAGUCUGAACUCCCACUCACGGCCGCUCCAUUAGAGUGUUCUCCAGAAAUCUCAGCAGACAUCACUGAUGGGAGAAAAGGAAUCAGCCCUCCAAUGAAAUUCUGUUGGUUCAUUAAGAAUGCCAACCUGAGGGGAGUGGUGGCACAGGCCUCUAAUCCCAGCACCAGCACGGGGGAGGCAGAGGUGGGAUGAAAGCCUUGCAUGCAUAGUGAGUCUCAUGUUAGCCAGGGCUACAUAAAAAACCCACUAACCUAAGCAAUAUGCCACAACCACUCUGCAUUAUCAUUUAGAACAAAUAAACAGGCCCUAGUGGGAGAAAAAAAAAAAAAGGUGGGGGGUUCUGAAAAAAAAUUAGUUUGUUGAUAUCACUAGUUACUUAGGACCACACCAAGCUAAGACUGUAGGGAAAUCACUUUUUCUAAACCCGAUCAUGCGCGAUGCCAGAUGGGUUCUAAAACUCAGAUUUCUAAGUCGGAUUGGGACUUGGCUUCAAAGCUAACAUUCCUGUUUUUGUUAGCUCUGAAGGAAAGCAUUUCAAAAGAGUCUACACACAUGCUUCUACCAACCUCCAUUGGUGAAACACAGUCUAUUAACUACCAUUUAUCAACCUAACACAUGUAAGUUUACUGUGGAAAUAAGCAAUAGAGACUUCCAGAUCAUCAAACACACGGUGCCACUGUUAAAUACUGAGUUCCUAUCAAGUCCUACCUAUCUGUCUUCCUUUGGAAGAAACAUUUGCCUAACAUGGUCCCUCCCUCUCCCGAUGAAAUUGCUGCUACUGACCAAUUUUUCACCUUCCAAAAACAAUGACUUCAUGUUGGGCCUAAUGAGAAAAUAUAGGGAAUGAUCCUCUAGUAACCUGCCCUUCAACAUAAAUUACGGAGCUUCUCUGAAAAGGGAGAUGAAAAACUAUUUUAAUUAUGACAAUAAUUUAAUCUCCUGCAGCCGAAUGUAGCCCAUCCCCACACUAGACUCUCCAUGGAUGCCUGGCAUUCCCCACCCUAAAUGUGUGACUCUUUUCUCAGCUCUGACUUUCUCUUGGAAAAAAUUCCUGUGAAGCAUACAUCUUGAUACUAAAGGAUCUACGCAUGUAACUAAACGUCCCAUAAAAUGAAAAUACUACAAAACAGGUCCCUGAUUAUAAAAUUCCAAUUAUUAAGCAUAAAAACAGCGUACAAACAUAUUUGGUAGGCAUGCCUUCCUUGGCUAGCAACGGCUGCCUCGAGUCUCGUGAAAUACACUAUUCUUCCUGCAGACAUUCACACUGUGAAAUCGGACCCUCGGAGAAACACCUGUUUCAGGUAACCUGUCUCAGGUAGCCUCCCUCUCACAAGGAAGAGGCAUUGUUGGGUUAGAGAGCUGGUCUCUGAGAAACUCCCUCAGGUGAGCAAUACCCCGAUGCCAGCCACCCAGGCUGUGGCCCAGGCACGCCUGCCGCUGCACAGAGCCCUGUCUCUGAGACGGCUCUAGCUGUUUACAGUGUUGUCUCUACAAUCCAAGCGGUAGGGUGGAGUUAUGAAACAUUCUAGAAGGGAGCUCUGGAAAUGGUCUGAAGUGUUUCAUUCCUAGCUCCAGAGAGCAAAUUGGCACAUUAAGAGAUGAACAUGUGUUAUUCAAUUUUUUUUUCUAUGUGAAGUUUUUAAUCCACACCGACACUGGCAUUCUUACCUAUUAACCAUUUAAAAGAGCAUGCUGCUAAAAACAGGUUCAUAAAUACAUGUGAGUGCAACUUGAAACGCCACACGCCUGCUGACUGGUUGAUGAAAAAUUCUAAGAUCAUCAAUUAGGACUCUUGAUGUACAUAAUUUUCUCACAGUCUUAAAAACUGGAUGCCAAGUAAUUCGCCUCUUAUGCAAUGAACAAUAAUCACAUUUUUCGGUGUUGUGUCUAUGACCCCUUAAAUUCAAUUACAGUUCAGAGCAGUUCCUCUCAUUUGCUCAGACCUACAGUGUGCUGAGCACGCAUCACCUCCGUGUAUUCCACAAAACGCUUAAAAGGCCAAAGAAACAGUGUUUCUGCCCCAUUACUCUCCAGAAAGCCUCAUUAGAAUUCAGAUACUGUAUGCGAUGAAGGCCGGGAGCGGAGCCCAGGAUGGCAAAAUCCCCUGAAAAUCCAGCAAGAGGCAACCUGCUGCCCUAGAAGAGGAAGGCCUCUCCCACCGGGGCGAGGGCCUCAAAAAAAUCAGGCUUUCCCAACCUUACCUGGUACGAGCAGUUCUCCUGAUGUACCAUCUCAGAGCAUCCUAGGGCGCAGACCCUAAAGCUGGGCUGCUGGGCGAGGCUGCGCAGGGGAAGCGCCGAGCAUCCACAGGCGCGGGAGAACGCCCUGGUUAGGCAGGGGCUCCCCGCAGAUUAAAAUGGAUGCUGUUCCGCUGAGCAACCUGCGCAGUGGCAACUGCCUGUGCUGGGAAGCGGCGCAGCCACCGAGCUCGCUCGCUCCCUCGCUCUGCAGCCUCUGAGCUGCUCUGCUUCUCAGGAACCCGGAGGCAGGCUGCUGAGCCGAGCUGGGACCGGCCUGGGGGAGGGGGCGGGCGCAUCACCCGCACAAUCAGCCAAUUAUAUUAUAGGCACAAAGAAAAGGAUCUGUCUGGGGCUGGUGUGACCUUCUGGUGCUUUAUGAAGGCAGUUAACUGAUGUGGAAACAUUCUAGUACUCAUUAAAGAGAAAAAGGCCAGCGAGGGAGAGAGAGAGAGAGAGAGACAGACACAAAUCAAUGCUGCAGUUGGACAUUCCUAACUUGCGGCUGCAGCAUCCUUCCUAACCACUAAUGCUGCUCACCGUUGGUGCUUAUGAAAGCCAGGCCUUAAGGAUCCUUUCAGAACUUUUAACAUGCUAAAGGGAAAACAGUCCAUUCUGAAUACUAACACGCAAGGUUUGUAUUCAUGCUUCGGAAACCCGUUUUUAAAGUAUCUUGUCAACUUUCUAACUAGAGGGCUUUCUUUAUGUAUUAUUUUGUAAUUUACAAAAACGAUUCUUAACUGUUUUUAAGUCAAACAAAAGAUAUAAUGGAACCAUUAUUUCUAUAAUUUCGGGGUAAGUUUAUUAAAAUGU